AUUGAACGCUGGCGGCAUGCCUUACACAUGCAAGUCGAACGGCAGCACGGGAGCUUGCUCCUGGUGGCGAGUGGCGAACGGGUGAGUAAUACAUCGGAACGUACCCAGUAGUGGGGGAUAACGCACCGAAAGGUGCGCUAAUACCGCAUACGACCUACGGGUGAAAGCGGGGGACCGUAAGGCCUCGCGCUAUUGGAGCGGCCGAUGUCUGAUUAGCUAGUUGGCGGGGUAAAGGCCCACCAAGGCGACGAUCAGUAGCUGGUCUGAGAGGACGAUCAGCCACACUGGGACUGAGACACGGCCCAGACUCCUACGGGAGGCAGCAGUGGGGAAUUUUGGACAAUGGGGGCAACCCUGAUCCAGCAAUGCCGCGUGUACGAAGAAGGCCUUCGGGUUGUAAAGCACUUUUGUCAGGGAAGAAAUCUUUUGGGCUAAUACCCCGGAAGGAUGACGGUACCUGAAGAAUAAGCACCGGCUAACUACGUGCCAGCCGCCGCAGUAA
rnacentral:rRNA from 1 species